GACUUCUUUAAACUGUGUGAUUUUUACUGUGCGUAUUGCUGUGCGUUUGUUUCUUCUUCAUUUGGUUGAGAUUUUAAAAACUUGUUUAACCCCUCGGCAUUUUAGUAUCUGUUCCAAGUCUGGGGCCUCUGGCCUAUGUUAGCUUGGUAUGAACUUUUAUUUUAGUUUAGAGUUUAGUAUGACAUUCAUUAUCACUGAUCUGGUACAAAUUUUUCAUUAUGACUGAAGCCAUUUCUGGUUUUUAGAUGGAUCGCUUCAGAUGCUUG
rnacentral:lncRNA from 1 species